rnacentral:rRNA from 1 species
GUAGUCCUAGCCGUAAACAAUGUGCACUUGGUGUAAGCCGGUUUUCGGUUUGUGCCGAAGUUAACGCGAUAAGUGCACCGCCUGGGGAGUACGGUCGCAAGUCUGAAACUCAAAGGAAUUGACGGGGGCCCGCACAAGCGGUGGAGCAUGUGGUUCAAUUCGAUGCAACGCGAAGAACCUUACCUGGGUUUGAACUGCAAACGAAUAUUCCAGAGAUGGAAUAGGCUAGCAAUAGACGUUUGUAGAGGUGCUGCAUGGCUGUCGUCAGCUCGUGUCGUGAGAUGUUGGGUUAAGUCCCGCAACGAGCGCAACCCUUGCCUCUAGUUGCUCUCCCUUACGGGAAGCACUCUAGAUGGGACCGCCGGUGAUAAACCGGAGGAAGGUGGGGAUGACGUCAAGUCAUCAUGGCCUUUAUGUCCAGGGCUACACACGUGCUACAAUGGCCGGGAACAAAGGGUAGCCAAACCGCAAGGUGGAGCCAAUCCCAUCAAAACCGGCCUCAGUUCGGAUUGCACUCUGCAACUCGAGUGCAUGAAGUUGGAAUCGCUAGUAAUCGCGGAUCAGCAUGCCGCGGUGAAUA